CAAUCUGCCCUGCACUUCGGGAUAAGCCUGGGAAACUGGGUCUAAUACCGGAUAGGACCUUUAGACGCAUGUCUUUUGGUGGAAAGCUUUUGCGGUGUGGGAUGGGCCCGCGGCCUAUCAGCUUGUUGGUGGGGUGAUGGC
rnacentral:rRNA from 1 species